UGAAUGGUUUGAAAGAGAGAGAACUUGCCCUCUUUGCCGGGCACUGGUAAAGCCUGCAGAACUCCGAACAUUUGGCGAUGGAUCAACCAGCUUACUCUUCCAGUUGUUUUAGACGAAAAUUUUCCAUUUCUUGACAUUACAAAUCUAUCAGUUCGACAAAGAAAGAUAUUGAUUAAUGGGUGGAAACAGGGGAAGAAGAACAAAGAAAAAAGGGAAAGAGAAGAAAAAAGAGAAAAAACGAGACAUCCAGACAAGCCUGAAGAUAUGUCAAACUCAACUGGAUUAGUAUUAUAUUAAUGCUUUAUAAUCAUUGUGAUGAGUUAGAUGUCCAAACAGAAGAUGG
rnacentral:misc_RNA from 1 species